AUUUAAUCCAAUGUAUAAAAAAAUACCAUUUCAAAUUUUGCUACAUGAGACCAAUUUGAGCUGGUCAGUCAUAAAUGUUCUCCCUGUACCUACUUCUUGUCUCCAGCGUCGAUCUUCACAGCUCUUGAUGGUUUUUGCGACUGCACUUGAAGAAACUUUCAAAGUUCUUAAUGUUCAGCAUUGACUGACCUCCAUGUCUUAAAGUAAUGAUGGACUGUCAUUUCUCUUUGCUUAUUUGAGCUGUUGCCAUAAUAUGGAUUUGAUCUUUUAUGAAAUAGGGCUAUCUUCUGUAUACCCCACUACCUUGUCACAACACAACUGAUUAGCUCAAACGCAUUAAGAAGGAAAGAAAUUCCACAAAUUAACUUUUAACAAGGCACACCUGUUAAUUGAAAUACAUUCUAGGUGACUACCUCAUGAAGCUGGUUGAGAGAAUGGCAAGAGUGUGCAAAGUUGUCAUCAAGGCAAAGGGUGGCUACUUUGAAGAUCUCAAAUAUAAAAUAUAUUUAGAUUUGUUUAACACUUACUGCACGAUUCCGUGUGUGUUAUCUCACAGUUUUGUUGUCUUGAUUAUUACUAUACAAUGUAGAAAAUAGUAAAAAAUAAAGACUAACCCUGGAAUCAGUAAGUGUGUCCAAACGUUUGACUGGUACUGUAUAUAUAUUUGAUUUUUAUUUUUAUUUUUUUAAUUAGUCAAUCUGAUUGUGCCUACUCCCCUGCUGUCAUGGUCCAGAAAAAAAGAAAAAUUCACAAUUGGUUACAUAUAAAGUUCUGGAAAUCUCUCUCUCUAUACUGUCUUUGUCAUGUUGUGUCUUGUCUCUGUCCUUUCCCUUCACCCUGUCUCCCUCUGCUGGUCGUUGUUAGGUUACCUUUUCUCCCCCGCUUUCUCCCAGCUGUUCCUUGUCUCCUCUAACUACCCAUUCACCCCGUUUCCCACCUGUUUCCUUGUCUCCUCUAACUACCCAUUCACCCCGUUUCCCACCUGUUCCCUUUUUCCCUCUGAUUAGGUCCCUAUAUCUCUCUCUGUUUCUGUUCCUGUCCUUGUCGGAUUCUUGUUUGUGUUUCAUGCCUGAGCCAGACUAUCGUCAUGUUUGCUGUAACCUUGUCCUGUCCUGUCGGAAUCUGCCGGUCUAUCUGAGCCUACCUAUGUUUGGUCAUUAAAGAAGCUCUGUUUAAGUUAGUUCGCUUUUGGGUCCUCAUUCACUCACCAUAACAGUCUUUAGCUUAUUUUAUUGUUCUAUAAAAUUAUAUACAAACAGUUGUGGACAGAUUAAUUUUAGUUUGAUGUUAAAAAUUCAGUGUAUUGUAUAUUUUGUUGCGAUAUUUGCUGACAUACAUUUCAUAAACUUCUAAGUAUCCUCACCAAAAUGUCAAUCAAUUCACAAUUUGGAGAGGCCUGAAAUUGUCCCUAUUGUUCACUUCUAGAUUCUGAUUAUUUUCAUUAAAA
rnacentral:lncRNA from 13 species